rnacentral:misc_RNA from 1 species
GAAAAAGAUAACGAAAUGGACACGACGGCCAAAUCUGAGGAGCAACUCAAACAAACUGACCAAAGUGAAAAGAUGAAAUUUACACAAGUGCUCAAAGUUACCAUUCAUUCACAAACUACAGCACACUGUGUUGGAGUUUGAAAUAGGAAAUGAAGCAGCAAAGAAACCAAUGGCUAGACAACUAGAUUUUGCAUCAAAAAGCUAAAUUAUAAGAGCUUAGAGACGAAGAAGAAAAUCCUAGAAAUGCAUUAAAAGCAAAAGUUAAUUAGCUAUAGGCAAUGAUUUCACGCGAUUACAAAAAUCAGAAUAAACAGCAGUAGCUGCGAAUCUAAAAAACUGUUAGAU